rnacentral:rRNA from 1 species
UUCGGAUUGCAGGCUGCAACUCGCCUGCAUGAAGUUGGAAUUGCUAGUAAUCGCGGAUCAGCAUGCCGCGGUGAAUACGUUCCCGGGCCUUGUACACACCGCCCGUCACACCAUGGGAGCCGGUAAUACCCGAAGUCAGUAGCCUAACCGCAAGGGGGGCGCUGCCGAAGGUAGGAUUGGCGACUGGGGUGAAGUCGUAACAAGGUACC